rnacentral:rRNA from 1 species
CACGUAGGGCGCAAGCGUUGUCCGGAAUUAUUGGGCGUAAAGAGCUCGUAGGCGGUCUGUUGCGUCCGCUGUGAAAACUCGGGGCUUAACCCCGAGCCUGCAGUGGAUACGGGCAGACUAGAGGUAGGUAGGGGAGAAUGGAAUUCCCGGUGUAGCGGUGAAAUGCGCAGAUAUCGGGAGGAACACCGGUGGCGAAGGCGGUUCUCUGGGACGGUACUGACGCUGAGGCACGAAAGCGUGGGGAGCAAACAGG